rnacentral:rRNA from 1 species
UUGCUAGAUUGAUGGCGAGUGGCGAACGGGUGAGUAAUACAUCGGAACGUGCCCUGUAGUGGGGGAUAACUAGUCGAAAGAUUAGCUAAUACCGCAUACGACCUGAGGGUGAAAGUGGGGGACCGCAAGGCCUCAUGCUAUAGGAGCGGCCGAUGUCUGAUUAGCUAGUUGGUGGGGUAAAGGCCCACCAAGGCGACGAUCAGUAGCUGGUCUGAGAGGACGAUCAGCCACACUGGGACUGAGACACGGCCCAGACUCCUACGGGAGGCAGCAGUGGGGAAUUUUGGACAAUGGGCGAAAGCCUGAUCCAGCAAUGCCGCGUGUGUGAAGAAGGCCUUCGGGUUGUAAAGCACUUUUGUCCGGAAAGAAAUGGCUCUGGUUAAUACCUGGGGUCGAUGACGGUACCGGAAGAAUAAGGACCGGCUAACUACGUGCCAGCAGCCGCGGUAAUACGUAGGGUCCAAGCGUUAAUCGGAAUUACUGGGCGUAAAGCGUGCGCAGGCGGUUGUGCAAGACCGAUGUGAAAUCCCCGAGCUUAACUUGGGAAUUGCAUUGGUGACUGCACGGCUAGAGUGUGUCAGAGGGGGGUAGAAUUCCACGUGUAGCAGUGAAAUGCGUAGAGAUGUGGAGGAAUACC